ACGUGAACUAAUUCGUCUGGUUAAUUCCGAUAACGCACGAGACCUUAGCCGAUAGUUAGAUGGACUUCUUGGAAAGUUCCUACCUCCUUUAUAGGGGAUCUUAUCGGGACCGCUCGCGAUCCUACAGAGAAGCGAGAGGAAGGCUAAGGCCAUAACA
rnacentral:rRNA from 1 species